AGGAUGCCGUAGCCCACGGUGGCGGCUCUGACCAUGCCCUGGUGCACUCGCUCCUUCCGAUCCUUGGAGAUGGGACCGGCUCCGCCGCCGUGGACCACUACGAUGGGAUUCAUGUCGGCGGAUCCUAGGCAGCAGGAAGGCGAAAGCGUCGUCCAAAGCCAGCCCAAGGAAGCCGCGCGGAUUGAAAAGCAACGCUAGGCUGUGCGCAGUGGCUCAUGCCUUGUAAUCCCAGCACUUUGAGAGGCCGAGGCGGACGGAUCACCUGAGGUCGGGAGUUCGAGACCAGCCUGACCAACACGGAGAAACCCUGUCCCUACUAAAAACACAAAAUUAGCUGGGCGUGGUGGCGCAUGCCUGUAAUCCCAGCUACUCUGGAGGCUAAGGCACGAGAAUCGUUUGAACCUGGGAGGCGGAGGUUGCGGUGAGUGGAAAUCGCGCCAUUGCACUCCAGCCUGGGCAACAAGAGUGAAACUCCGAAUCAAAAG
ensembl:lncRNA novel transcript